CCUACGGGUGGCAGCAGUGGGGAAUAUUGGACAAUGGGGGGAACCCUGAUCCAGCCAUGCCGCGUGUGUGAAGAAGGCCCUCGGGUUGUAAAGCACUUUCAGUGAGGAAGAACGCCUGGUGGUUAAUACCCAUCAGGAAAGACAUCACUCACAGAAGAAGCACCGGCUAACUCCGUGCCAGCAGCCGCGGUAAUACGGAGGGUGCGAGCGUUAAUCGGAAUUACUGGGCGUAAAGCGCGCGUAGGUGGCUUGAUAAGCCGGUUGUGAAAGCCCCGGGCUCAACCUGGGAACGGCAUCCGGAACUGUCAAGCUAGAGUGCAGGAGAGGAAGGUAGAAUUCCCGGUGUAGCGGUGAAAUGCGUAGAGAUCGGGAGGAAUACCAGUGGCGAAGGCGGCCUUCUGGACUGACACUGACGCUGAGGUGCGAAAGCGUGGGUAGCAAACAGGAUUAGAUACCCGGGUAGUC
rnacentral:rRNA from 1 species